AUUGAACGCUGGCGGCAUGCUUUACACAUGCAAGUCGAACGGUAGAGGGGGCAACCCCUUGAGAGUGGCGAACGGGUGAGUAAUGCAUCGGAACGUGCCCAGUCGUGGGGGAUAACGCAGCGAAAGCUGUGCUAAUACCGCAUACGAUCUCUGGAUGAAAGCGGGGGACCGAAAGGCCUCGCGCGAUUGGAGCGGCCGAUGUCAGAUUAGGUAGUUGGUGGGGUAAAGGCUCACCAAGCCAACGAUCUGUAGCUGGUCUGAGAGGACGACCAGCCACAAUGGUACUGAGACACGGCCCAGACUCCUACGGGAGGCAGCAGUGGGGAAUUUUGGACAAUGGGCGCAAGCCUGAUCCAGCAAUGCCGCGUGCAGGGAGAAGGCCUUCGGGUUGUAAACUGCUUUUGUACGGAACGAAAAGGUCUGGGUUAAUGCCCUGGGCACAUGACGGUACCGUAAGAAUAAGCACCGGCUAACUACGUGCCAGCCGCCGCCGUAA
rnacentral:rRNA from 1 species